CAGCCGUAAACUAUGCGCGUUAGGUGUAUCGGUGACCACGAGUUACCGAGGUGCCGAAGGGAAACCGUGAAACGUGCCGCCUGGGAAGUACGGUCGCAAGGCUGAAACUUAAAGGAAUUGGCGGGGGAGCACCACAACAGGUGGAGCCUGCGAUUUAAUUGGACUCAACGCCGGGAAGCUCACCGGAUAGGACAGACAUAUGAUAGUCGGGCUGAAGACUCUACUUGAUGAUCUGAGAGGAGGUGCAUGGCGUCAGUGACU
rnacentral:rRNA from 1 species